UACGUAGGGCGCAAGCGUUUAUCCGGAAUUAUUGGGCGUAAAGAGCUCGUAGGCGGUUUGUCGCGUCUGCCGUGAAAGUCCGGGGGCUCAACUCCGGAUCUGCGGUGGGUACGGGCAGACUAGAGUGAUGUAGGGGAGACUGGAAUUCCUGGUGUAGCGGUGAAAUGCGCAGAUAUCAGGAGGAACACCGAUGGCGAAGGCAGGUCUCUGGGCAUUAACUGACGCUGAGGAGCGAAAAGCAUGGGGGAGCGAACAGG
rnacentral:rRNA from 1 species